UACGUAGGGGGCAAGCGUUGUCCGGAAUUAUUGGGCGUAAAGAGCACGUAGGCGGUAAUAUAAGUUGGAUGUGAAAGGCUACGGCUCAACCGUAGAGCUGCAUCCAAAACUGUAUCACUUGAGUGCAGAAGAGGAGAGUGGAAUUCCCGGUGUAGCGGUGGAAUGCGUAGAUAUCGGGAGGAACACCAGUGGCGAAGGCGACUCUCUGGUCUGUAACUGACGCUGAGGCACGACAGCGUGGGUAGCGAACAGG
rnacentral:rRNA from 1 species